rfam:Tyto alba contig147552, whole genome shotgun sequence.
GAUUUUUCAGGAACAGUGUUUCCUAAAGACC